UACGAAGGGGGCUAGCGUUGUUCGGAAUCACUGGGCGUAAAGCGCACGCAGGCGGCUCGUUAAGUCAGGGGUGAAAUGCCGAGGCUCAACCUCGGAACUGCCUUCGAUACUGCGGGUCUCGAGUCCGGGAGAGGUGAGUGGAAUUCCUAGUGUAGAGGUGAAAUUCGUAGAUAUUCGCAAGAACACCAGUGGCGAAGGCGGCUCACUGGCCCGAUACUGACGCUGAGGCACGAAAGCGUGGGGAGCAAACAGG
rnacentral:rRNA from 1 species